GAGAGAGGAGAGGUAAGAGCAGAUCAAGUGUGCGUGUGAGAAAAAAAAAAGAUCUUUGCACAUUGGAGUGUUGGAGCUGACCUAAGUAGUUCGAACUGCAAGUUUCAUGAGACGGGUGGAUUUCCAAAUGUGAUGUUAGCGAUGUCAACAACAAAUUGGACAUGCGUUACACCAGCAAUAUUUGGACACGUGGAGUGAUGUAUCAACCAAAUCAUGGUCUUCCCGCUCAAGUGGUGUUAUGUUUCUGAGUUGAAAAGAACAGUGAUUCGGACUAGUAGAAAAGGACACAGAUGGUUUUAUUCCGAAAUACCUCUCCCACCAGAAAAACAAUUGAAUAGGAUCUUGAUAAGAAUAUGGGUACCAAUUAUUCAUUGUUUAUAUAUAAAAAAUCAGCCUAAGUCAGUUUUCUAAGCUUUGGCCAUCAAAAUUUAAAAUUUAAUAUAGAUUGACAUCACAUUUUAGCGCAAUGGUGUUAAAAGGCCCGUCAUAUUUUUUUCAUAAUAUAUAACCAUUUAUAUCUCUUAUAAUUAGAGUUAAGUGCUUGAACUUGUACUGAUGUGUCACUUAGGUCCCUGUACUCUUAAAUUGAACAUCUAGCUUCGUAAAUUUGGCUUCAAGUGUCAUCUAUACUCUUGUCAUUAUACUUUCAAAAUGCAGAUCUGACCCCUAAACAUUUGUACUCAUGUCAUUAUACAUUCUAUUUCUGGUCGAAAUGUCAUAAUACUAAGAUAUUGUACUCAUGUCCCAAUAGGCCUAUAUUCAUUAUUAGAGUUAGUAGCGUUAUACUAC
rnacentral:lncRNA from 1 species